CAGCAGCCGCGGUAAUACGAAGGGUGCAAGCGUUAAUCGGAAUUACUGGGCGUAAAGCGUGCGUAGGCGGCUUUGCAAGACAGAUGUGAAAUCCCCGGGCUCAACCUGGGAACUGCAUUUGUGACUGCAAGGCUAGAGUGCGGCAGAGGGAGAUGGAAUUCCGCGUGUAGCAGUGAAAUGCGUAGAUAUGCGGAGGAACACCGAUGGCGAAGGCAAUCUCCUGGGCCUGCACUGACGCUCAUGCACGAAAGCGUGGGGAGCAAACAGGAUUAGAUACCCCUGUAGUCCCUGUCUCUUAUAC
rnacentral:rRNA from 1 species